rnacentral:rRNA from 1 species
UACGUAGGGGGCAAGCGUUGUCCGGAUUUAUUGGGCGUAAAGAGCGUGUAGGCGGCCAGACAAGUCCGUUGGGAAAACUAGAGGCUUAACCUCUAGACGUCGAUGGAAACUGUUUGGCUAGAGUCCGGAAGAGGAGAAUGGAAUUCCUGGUGUAGCGGUGAAAUGCGCAGAUAUCAGGAAGAACACCCGUGGCUAAGGCGGUUCUCUAGUACGGUACUGACGCUGAGACGCGAAAGCGUGGGGAGCGAACAGG